CAAAACGACUCUCGGCAACGGAUAUCUCGGCUCUCGCAUCGAUGAAGAACGUAGCGAAAUGCGAUACUUGGUGUGAAUUGCAGAAUCCCGUGAACCAUCGAGUCUUUGAACGCAAGUUGCGCCCGAAGCCGUCAGGCCGAGGGCACGUCUGCCUGGGCGUCACGC
rnacentral:rRNA from 3 species